GUCCUGGCAGUAAACGGUGCACGUUUGGUGUGGGAGGAUUCGACCCCUUCUGCGCCGGAGCUAACGCGUUAAACGUGCCGCCUGGGGAGUACGGUCGCAAGAUUAAAACUCAAAGAAAUUGACGGGGCCCGCACAAGCGGUGGAGUAUGUGGCUUAAUUCGAUGCAACGCGAAGAACCUUACCUGGCCUUGACAUGCAUCUCUAAGCUGGUGAAAGCCAGUGACUCCCGAAAGGGAGAAUUUGCACAGGUGCUGCAUGGCUGUCGU
rnacentral:rRNA from 1 species